ACUCCCACGCGCUCCUGUUCCUUUUUCAUUUGUACGCGUAAAGAGAGAGAGAGAGAGAGAGAGAGAGGAGGCGACGAACGAACCAACGAAGAACCAGAGCUCCCGCCCGACCCGACGCCCGACAACGACGACGAACACUCCGAGAUGUUUGUGUUGCACCGCGCCUAGGUGGGCUCAAGAUGGUGGAUACUAAGAGUUACCUCGCGACCACAACUUUGGAAGUUGGUGGAAAAGGAAAUUUGUUGGCUUUGUGAUUUCAUAAAUCAUGAGGGCUUGUCGAAAUUGAGCUCCUGAGCACCCACAACUGCCAUAGCAUGCUUGAUUCACCAAAUUUUCAAAACGGGCACACAACAAUAGUUGAGCAAGUUCAGUUACCUCCAUAGUUGGAAUUUGUUGAAGGAAGUUCCAGUGAAACAAAAAAUGAAGUUGAAUGCGGACUGUCCACAUGUCAAAUUAAUGUGAUGGCUUUUUCCUUGGGUCUUGUAUUUGCCGUUGCAAUUCUGUUUAUUGUGCGGCUUAAGUAGUUUGGAAUAUCAAGUUUUAUGUUUUUUUGGAAUAUCAAUGUAUGGCUUAAUGACGAUACUCAACGUUGUACCCUCAUUUUAAAUGAUAAUUGAGAUGAGAACGAGGCUUGGGUUUGUGUA